UGUGACGAUUCCUCUGUGCCCUUAAGGGAAGGGAGGGGCGGUAGCUCCCGAUUUGAAAUAGAAGCACGUCCUUAUCCUCAAGCCGCUUGCUCUGCCACCUUCAAAUCGCUGCAGAUCACAGCCAGGCCCCGUGCCAUGCUGGCAAUGCAGGACAGCCACCAGGCAGAUCUUGUGGUGGUCUGUCCACGAGAACCUUUCCGGGAGACCUCACCACAGAAAUGAGGGCACAGGUUGUUUUCUCUACUCUCCUUGGGGAGGACAAAACGGUGUCCAGAGAGAAGCUCUCAGCCCAGGCUGUGCAUGGGGUCACUGGUGCUUAGAAGCCCCCAGCCAAAGUCAGAUAUUUAACCUGGUUGUUUUUGGAGUGUGGCCAGGUAGAGAACCCCUGUGAGGUACCAUUAGAAUGGAGUCUCAGGGUUUGAAAAAGCUGAUUAUGCUCAACUCCGAAGAGGGCAGAGAAGUAGGAAAUCGGAGCCUAGGAACAGGGAAACAGGUUGUCCGGGUGGGCCGCGCUCAAGAGGAUGCUGGCUUGUCCACACUGCUCAUCAGGGUUCCAUUGAAAUCACUCUGCAUCCUUGGCACCAACACAGCCUGCCAGAAUAAAGCCCUCAUAAGGCUCCAACACAUGCUCUUCAGAGACGUCUCUUUCUCCAUUCCCGAGCCCCGAUCCCUGCUCUGUAGUCUAUUUGCUAUCAAGCGACAGGAGCUACGGAAGGAGACGCCACUUCUCCAAGACAGAGAUGUGGCAGUUCAAUGAGUUCUUAUUUUCCCCCACAGGAAGAGCUUAGAGCACAAGGGGCAGUAUCGUUGAAGGGAAACGUCCGUGGGAGGAAAAUCAGAGGCAUGGUGAAGGGACACGGGAUUGAGAUGGGCUUUUAAGACCAUGAUGAGAGCUCACAUGAUGGUCCCCGGCGCACGCCCCAGCUGUUGACAACUGCAGGAUGAGUGCAGAUAGUGGUGGGCUCUGCUGGGGAAGGACUUCAGGUGAAGCCUGCAACUUGCUGCCAGGAUAACAUUAACGUGUUUGUUGACUGCUCUUGGCUCUUUACUCAGGGGUGCUGUCCUUGUCAGCCAGGUAUGGUGGCACAGGCCUUUAAUGCCAACACUUAGGAGGCAGAGGCAAGCAUGAGUUCACUGCUAGCCUGGUCUGCACAGUGAGUCUCAGGCUAGCCUGGGCCCUACAGUGAAACCUGGUCUUAAAAAAAAAAAAAAAAAAAAAAAAAAAAGCAUUUCUACCUUCUGUUUUGUUCUGUUUAUGUAUGUUUUGUUUUAUUUCUUCCUACGCUACCUUUAUUUAGAGACUCUUUUUGACCAUAUGGAGUGCAGCCCCUUCUCCCCAAGGAACCUCCUGGAUCUUGGUGAGAGGUAUUGGGCAAAGACUUUCUGGAGCCUCUGGCCAAAGCUAACCAGUCUGAUAUUUGUGCCCCAAGUCAUGGCCUCUUAGAGACUGCUGUCAUUGGCUGCAAUCCAAGCAGCAACAUCUCAAGUGCCCACUGUGUGCCAGACUCCAUCUUUUGCACCCUGGGAUUCUGUGGAAGGCUUUUCCUCCCCAGAUGGCUUGGAG